GACGUAGGAGGCGAGCGUUGUCCGGAUUCAUUGGGCGUAAAGAGCGCGCAGGCGGCUUGGUAAGUCGGAUGUGAAAACCCGAGGCUCAACCUCGGGCGUGCAUCCGAUACUGCUCGGCUAGAGGUAGGUAGGGGAGAUCGGAAUUCCUGGUGUAGCGGUGAAAUGCGCAGAUAUCAGGAGGAACACCGAUGGCGAAGGCAGUUCUCUGGGCCGUAACUGACGCUGAGGAGCGAAAGCGUGGGGAGCGAACAGG
rnacentral:rRNA from 1 species